ensembl:snRNA U1 U1 spliceosomal RNA
UGUCUUACAUGGUAGGAGAGAUAACACGAACAAGAAGGUGAUUUUCUCGGGAUGAGGUUAAUUCUUUGGAAGCUUGCUGUGCUGACCCCUGCAGUUUCCCUAAAUGCAGAAAACUCAACUGCAUAAUUUGAGGCAUUUUUGUAAGAAAAU